GGUAAAAGUAAGCGUAGAGUGCGCGUUUUGUUUGAUACGGGCAGCCAUAGGUCUUUUAUCACUGCGCGCGUGGCCACGUCGCUGUGAAUACGACCCCUUCGAAAGCAAUGGGUAGCGUUAAACACCUUUGGCCAACAGGCUGUAGGCUCUAACCUUAGAGAAGUAGUGCAUGUUGACCUAGUUCCUGUGGGGGGAGGUAAAAUUUCAAGUUUCGAAGCUAUUGUAGUUCCUGAAAUUUCGCAGGUCCACAAUGAGCAUUUAGAAAUUGCGCGAAACGAUUACCUACAUUCAGCCAAUAUAUGGUUUUCAGAUGUUUGUCAGAAGAGAGAGGAGCUGGAGAUAGAUAUUUUAAUAGGUACAGAUUAUUUAUGGAGUUUUCAGACAGGGAAAAUUGUACGAGGUAACAUAGACGAACCAGUUGCUAUAGAAACGUCUCUAGGUUGGGUCGCUAGUGGACCAAUGAAGAACAGUGCGGCUGUGGAAGGUGCGCAAGAGGUAGAUGCUAUUUUUGUUGGUAAUUGUAGUGUACAAACUGAUCAACUUGAGGAAAACGUAAAACAAAUGUGGGAUUUAGAGACCUUAGGAAUUGUUGAAGGUCAUGAGAUACAUGACGAAUUUGUUGAUUUUUUUUCAUUAAAUUUAACGGAAAUCGAUAUUCAGUAAAACUCCCGUGGCGAGACGGUCACGAGAACUUGCCAAGUAAUUUCGAACUUAGUUUAGGUCGCUUGAAAUCACAGGUUCGAAAGCUCAAAAAGGACUAAAGGAGCCAGACAUACUUGGGGAGUAUCAUAAAGUAAUCGCAGAACAAAUUAAUUCAGGCAUAGUAGAAAAGAUAUCAGAUGAGGAUGAUUGCGCGACAGUUCACUAUAUUCCUCAUCUUGCGGUAAUUCGAAAGGAAGCUAAAACCACGAAAUUAAGAGUUGUUUAUGACGCUUCAGCCAAAAUUGACAAAACCAGCAUGUCGUUGAAUGAUUGUUUGUAUAAGGGGCCAUCGCUUUGCCGUGUGGUAUUCGGAUUGAACGCAUCUCCGUUUUUACUGAACGCAACCUUGCGGCAUCAUAUUUCAAAAUACAAGUCAGAUGACCCAGAAUUUGUUCGAAAACCUUUAGACAGUUUUUACGUAGAUGAUUUAGUGUCUGGUGAAGAUAAUAAUAAUAAUAAAUUAAGAAAAUGGCUAACGAAUGACAAAUAAUUAAGGGAAAAAAUCGACACUCUGAAACUAGGCCUGAAAGUGAUUGUUUACAGCCAAACGCUGAUGGCGAAGAGAGUUAUGCACAACAAACACUAGGAAUAGGCUCGAAGUUAAGUAGCGGUCAUGAAAGAGUUUUCGGUCUUUCAUGGGAUAUUGUAAUUAUAAAUGACAACUUUAUAUUUGAAUUCUCAAAACAUGCUGAAUCGACUAAAAAGUUGACUCUGACUAAACGAAACAUACUCAGUUUACUUGCGAGUCAAUUUGCAUGGGCGAUGGGUGGAUUGGUCCUAUUAUUAUUAUUCGCAUGAAAAUGUUGUUUCAGGAGAUUUGUCGAGAAAACCUUGACUGGGAUGUAAAUUUAGAAGGGCAAUUUAAACUCAAGUGGGAAGAAAUAGUAAGACAUUUGUUAGCAAUCAAAGAGAUUAAGGUAAGUCGAUGCAUUUAUAAACAUCCGAAGCGGGUAAUCCGCAAGUGCUUUCUCCACGGGUUUGGAGACGCAAGCACUAUAGGUUAUUGCGCUGUUGUAUAUUUGGUAUAUCAGGGGGAAAACGGAAUAUAUACAGCAUUGCUUACUUCAAAGUGCCGAGUGGCACCACUGAAAGAAUGAACUAUCCCACGAUUAGAACUUAUGUCAGCAAAAAUUAUGGCUCAAUUAAUGGAUAGUGUAAUGAAAGCCAUGGAACGUGACAUUAAAUUUAAUGGAUUGAAAUAUUGGUUAGACAGUAAAACAGCCCUGUGUUGGAUUGAAAACAGGGGGGAGUGGAAACAAUUUGUUCGUCACCGCGUUGGUGAAAUUUUAAAAUUAACAAACAAAAAUGAUUGGGAGUACUGUCCGAGCGCGGAAAAUGCCGCAGACUUAGGCUCAAGAGGCACGUUUGGCUCUGAUUUGAAAGACGAAAAGCUUUGGUGGCACGGACCUUUAUGGUUAAGUCAAGAGGAACAUAAUUGGCCACAAAAGGCAAAUAUUAUAAGUACCCCGGAGAGCGAUGGUGAGAAGAAAAUUUCUCGGUGUCACUGUGUUAGUUGUCGAAAUAACAGAACCGUGCAGUAUUGACCAAGUUUUAGACAUAAGUCGAUAUAUAUAGUCAUAUAGACAUAUAGUUCUUUGAGAAAACUCGUGAGAGUCACAGCACUCGUUUUACUUUUGUCUAUAAGCUGAGAACCCGGAACGUAUUACAGCAUGAUGAAAAUGAGUUGACAGAUCGGGAAGUUAUUACCCUAGAUCGAGAGGAAUUAAUUAACGCAGAAAAUGCGUGGGUUGAAGUGGCGCAAACAGAGUUACGCAAACAGGAUAAUUUUGAUCAACUUAAAAGGACGUUAAAUAUAAUUGAAGAUGAAAAUGGCAUUCUUAGGUGCGUAGGAAGACUUGAAAAUUCAGAUUUAAGUGAUUUUGCUCGUAGACCUUUAAUUUUGCUUAGAGAACACAGGUUUACUAAUUUAGUUAUUGAAGAUUGUCAUACUAGAGUUCACCACAGUGGACUUUAUAGAAGGUCGUUAGGCGAAUUGCGUUCAAGGUACUGGGUACCAAGAGCGAGGCAGAUUGUUAAGAAAAUAAUUCAUAAGUGUGUCAUAUGUAAGAAGGUUGCAGGAAAGUCUUAUACGGCCCAACCUAUGGCGGCCUUACCAGAGUUUCGAGUACGUGAAAGUUUCCCGUUUUCAAAAGUCGGAGUUGAUUUUGCCGGACCAUUAUUUGUUAAGAGUAAGAUAGGAGAAUCGAAAAAGGCUUACAUUGCCCUUUUCUCUUUUUGCGUGACACGUGCGAUACAUCUGGAAUUAGUUGAAGAUUUGACAUCACAAACAUUUAGACGAGCACUUAGGCGUUUUUCGAGUAGACGCGGAACUCCGGCCCUGAUAGUUUCAGACAAUGCUAAGACAUUUCGUGCAACACAGAAGGCUCUAAAACAGUUGU